rnacentral:lncRNA from 7 species
UUUUUCAGUUCAUGAAUGUGUGCAUCACAGACCACAAACCUGUAAAAUGAUGAUAAUGGAUGCCAUUUCAUCUCCACAGAGUAAGAAAUUACAAAGGUCACAGGCAGUCAGUUUGAAUACAAACAAACGAAAACCAGCUGGGACCAAGUGGCUAAACUCAGAAUGUGAUGAGAUGGAAUUGCUUUCCAUUAGAGAACAUGUUUGAAUCCUCUGUAAAGUUACAAGUAAAUGGCUGCUCGUAUGUUUUCUGUGAUUAGAGCACUGCUCUGUGAACUGCUUGGGAAAGAGUUCAUUAUGUAUUAUUUUUAUAAUGCAAAGUCUGUUUAGAAUUUAUAGGAUGCCUGCAUUGCUGAUUUCAGUGCUUAGUAGGGAAAAAAAAAAACAACAAAAUAAGACAGGAUUGUGAUAGCAGUGUGGCUGCUUCUGCAUCUUAUGAGAUAAGAGCAGUAUUCAGGCCCGAAUGAAGUUAUGUGGCCAUUAAAACACAGAGGAAAUUAAAGACUGGAGAGCCUUUAAAAUAGCAUUCUGAUUUGAUUUAUAGAAGUGAAGACAUUUUGGGUUAUAGAAAGAGCAGCAUUCCUUAAAAUAAAAGUGCUUAGUGUAGUGUGCAAUGGAUUUUGUAGAUGAGGUUGUGCAUGAUAUGAGCUAUAAUACCCUGCAGAAUGCGAUUUUUGAGAUCCUGGUUGGGUGCUUCUUCAGCUUGGAAUUCCUAGUUUAUUACUGUAUGUAGGACAAGAUUAUUACUGAACAGAGUAUGGAAAUAUUUUGAGAACAUUGGAACUUUAAUUUCGUAAGGAGAACUGGAAAAAUUCCUCUGACCAUAGUUCAGACUGGGAUAAGGAUAAGAGAAAAUUUUAAUAUCCUUUUACUGUGAGCAUCACCUGCAGUCAAUCGACAAGCUUGCCUGCUCACUAGGAGCCAAACCUUCUUGCCAGGUGCUGCCCUGCAGUAGCACUGUAAGUCAGAUCGGUAUUUCUCCCCUUGGGUUUUAGUGUGAACUGCCAGCUGCCUCAAGAUGCUGUGUUAAUACUCGGCUAGUGGUGGAUGCAAAUUGAAUUGUGACAAAUAUGUAGAGAAGUGUGUUGCCUGAGGACUGAUACCAAUGCUUGCAUGAUCUCAAACAAAAUUAUUUUACUUGUACUGUUUUUAUAAGCGAUGUUAUUGUAAAAGGACUACAUAUUUUGCAUUACAUACUUUUUUUUUUUGCAUAUGGAUAUCAGAAUAAUAAAUCAUCACU